rnacentral:rRNA from 1 species
GAGUUUGAUCAUGGCUCAGGACGAACGCUGGCGGCGUGCCUAACACAUGCAAGUGGAGCGACGAACCAGGCUUCGGCCUGGGGCAAAGCCGCGAACGGGUGAGUAACACGUGGGUAACCUGCCCCGAUGAUUGGGACAACCCGAGGAAACUCGGGCUAAUACCAAAUGUGCCCUCCGGCCAUAAGGCCGCUGGGGAAAGGAAGCUUCGGCCUCCGCAUCGGGAUGGGCCCGCGGCCCAUUAGCUUGUUGGUGAGGUAACGGCUCACCAAGGCGACGAUGGGUAGCUGGUCUGAGAGGACGAUCAGCCACACUGGGACUGAGACACGGCCCAGACUCCUACGGGAGGCAGCAGUGGGGAAUCUUGCGCAAUGCGCGAAAGCGUGACGCAGCAACGCCGCGUGGGGGAAGAAGGCCUUCGGUUGU